AUGGCCUCGAGCUCCCUCCCGCUCCUCGCCCUCCUGGCCCUGCUGGCCCUGCCAGGGCUCCGGGCGGCCGUGACCCUGCUGGAGUCCGGGGGGGACCUCCAGCCCCCCGGGGGGUCCCUGACUCUGCUCUGUCGCGGGUCUGGAUUUGAUUUUGGGCGUUUUGGAAUAGUCUGGGUUCGGCAGAGCCCCGGGAAGGCGCUGGAAUGGCUCGCAGGGAUCAGCAAUGGUGGCAGCACCCACUAUGCGCCAUCACUCAAGGGCCGGGUCACGAUCUCCAGGGACAACGGGCAGAGCUCGGUGACACUGACCAUGAGGGAUCUCAAGGACGACGAUUCUGGCUCCUAUUUCUGCGCCAAACGUGCUGGUGCUGCUGGUGAUAACACUGCUGCUAAUCAUGUUGAUGGCCCUGGGUCCAAAGUUGAGCUUUGA